rnacentral:rRNA from 1 species
AUUGAACGCUGGCGGCAUGCUUUACACAUGCAAGUCGAACGGCAGCACGGGCUUCGGCCUGGUGGCGAGUGGCGAACGGGUGAGUAAUAUAUCGGAACGUACCCAGAAGUGGGGGAUAACGUAGCGAAAGUUACGCUAAUACCGCAUACGAUCUAUGGAUGAAAGCAGGGGACCGCAAGGCCUUGUGCUCCUGGAGCGGCCGAUAUCUGAUUAGCUAGUUGGUGAGGUAAAGGCUCACCAAGGCGACGAUCAGUAGCUGGUCUGAGAGGACGACCAGCCACACUGGAACUGAGACACGGUCCAGACUCCUACGGGAGGCAGCAGUGGGGAAUUUUGGACAAUGGGCGCAAGCCUGAUCCAGCAAUGCCGCGCGAGUGAAGAAGGCCUUCGGGUUGUAAAGCUCUUUUGUCAGGGAAGAAACGGUAGAGGCUAAUAUCCUUUGCUAAUGACGGUACCUGAAGAAUAAGCACCGGCUAACUACGUG